rnacentral:rRNA from 1 species
CCCUUAGAUGUUCUGGGCCGCACGCGCGCUACACUGAUGCAUUCAACGAGUUCCUACCUUGGCCGAGAGGCCUGGGCAAUCUUUUGAACUUGCAUCGUGAUAGGGAUAGAUUAUUGCAAUUAUUAAUCUUGAACGAGGAAUUCCUAGUAAACGCAGAUCAUCAAUCUGCAUUGAUUACGUCCCUGCCCUUUGUACACACCGCCCGUCGCUCCUACCGAUUGAAUGGUCCGGUGAAGCCUCGGGAUUGUGGUUAGUUUCCUUCAUUGGAAGUUAGCCGCGAGAACUUGUCUAAACCUUAUCAUUUAGAGGAAGGUGAAGUCGUAACA